rnacentral:rRNA from 1 species
GACAGAGGGUGCAAACGUUGCUCGGAAUUACUGGGCGUAAAGCGCGUGUAGGCGGGUUUCCAAGUCAGAUGUGAAAUCCCUGGGCUCAACCCCGGCACUGCAUUUGAAACUGGGAGUCUUGAGUAUCGGAGAGGAAAGCGGAAUUCCUGGUGUAGAGGUGAAAUGCGUAGAUAUCAGGAGGAACACCGGUGGCGAAGGCGGCUUUCUGGACGAUAACUGACGCUGAGACGCGAAAGCGUGGGGAGCAAACAGG